UUUGACCUCAAAUCAGGUAGGACUACCCGCUGAACUUAAGCAUAUCAAUAAGCGGAGGAAAAGAAACUAACAAGGAUUCCCCUAGUAACUGCGAGUGAAGCGGGAAAAGCUCAAAUUUGAAAUCUGGCAGUCUUUUUUUUCUUCUUUGGCUGUCCGAGUUGUAAUCUAGAGAAGUGCUUACCUGCGCUGGACCAUGUAUAAGUCUCCUGGAAUGGAGCCUCACAGAGGGUGAGAAUCCCGUCUUUGACAUGGACCGCCAGUGCGUUGUGGUGCGCUCUCAAAGAGUCGAGUUGUUUGGGAAUGCAGCUCUAAACGGGUGGUAAACUCCAUCUAAAGCUAAAUAUUGGCGAGAGACCGAUAGCGAACAAGUACCGUGAGGGAAAGAUGAAAAGGACUUUGGAAAGAGAGUUAAACAGUAUGUGAAAUUGUUGAAAGGGAAACGCUUGAAGUCAGUUAUGUCGGCUGGGGAUCAACCUA
rnacentral:rRNA from 1 species